CCACAUCCAUCCCUCUGGCCGGACUCCAAUUUCAUCAGCGCCCUAAUCCAUGAUGGCCUAGCCCUCGCAACAAUAUACGAACAAAUGGCAGAUCACGGGCCACUGAAAUAAUCCAGUGUUGAUGAAGAAGAAAUUGCACGUGUUGAUGAAGAAGAAAUUGCACAAGACCAGAGUACCUUCUGACAACUUAUUGCAGUGGUUUCAUGUCUCAAUGCUACUCAUUUAUGGAAGAAUGAAAUAUUCACCCUCUUUUAUUAUCUCAAUUCCACUCAAUUGCGGAGUA
rnacentral:lncRNA from 1 species